AUGGUGGAGGCGGGGCCUCGGUUGCCCUACUUCUGUGUGGGGAACCCCGGAUCUGGAGCGGCGGCUCCAUUGGCAAGGCACGGCCGGCUAGCAGCCAUGCGGGCGGUGGAUCUGGUGUCCCGGUCGCGUGGGCGGCGGGAUCCGGUGGUCGUUGGCGGUCGGCGGCGGCCGUUGCGCGCGAUCUGGCGCCUCCCCUCCUCCCCUGUUCGGCGUGCGUGCCAGCCUGGUCGGGCCGCGCUUCCUCUUGGUCGCCAGUUCUGUACAUGA
rnacentral:rRNA from 1 species